GGCCUAUCCCUUCAAAGGUUCUUUAUAAUGAUCCAAUAUCUCAAGCACUCGGUAAGAAGCUAGGACUGGAUGCCUAUAUACUUGUGGUUAAUUAAGAGGUGAUGACACUCAGGAGCAAAGCACAAGAAAGCCAGCAACUCCAGAAAGUAUAUGCCAUCUAACUUCCAUCUAGAUUGAAGACUUCUCUUCCUCUUUGAUUGCCGGAACAAGAUCUGAUGUUCCUUUUUGGGUAUCUCUUGUAUUAUUCCUGAGAGCUUGUCUCAGCCCC
rnacentral:misc_RNA from 1 species